rnacentral:rRNA from 1 species
CUGAGCAGCAACCCGCGUGGUGAUGAAGGCCUUCGGGCGUAAAGCUCUGUCAAGUGGGAAGAACCUGCCUUGUGAUAAUACCAUGGGGCACCGACGGUACCACUGAAGGAAGCACCGGCUAACUCCGUGCCAGCAGCCGCGGUAAUACGGGGGGUGCUAGCGUUAUUCGGAAUCAUUGGGCGUAAAGGGCGCGUAGGCGGUCUUUUAAGUCAGAUGUGAAAGCCCUCGGCUUAACCGAGGAAGUGCAUUUGAUACUAAGAGACUUGAGUAUGGGAGAGGGAAGCGGAAUUCCUGGUGUAGCGGUGAAAUGCGUAGAUAUCAGGAGGAACACCGGUGGCGAGGCGGCUUCCUGGACCAAUACUGACGCUGAGGCGCGAAGGCGUGGGGAGCAAACAGGAUUAGAUACCCUGGUAGUCCACGCAGUAAACUGUGAACACUAGGUGUAGCGGGUAUUGACCCCUUCAGGGCCCAAGCUAACGCGUUAAGUGUGCCGCCUGAGGACACGGCCGCAAGGCUAAAACUCAAAGAAUUGACGGGGGCCCGCACAAGCGGUGGAGCAUGUGGCUUAAUUCGAUGCAACGCGAAGAACCUUACCGGCCUUGACAUGCACUUGACCGAGGGUGAAAGCUCUCUUUCCCGCAAGGGACAGGUGCACAGGUGCUGCAUGGCUGUCGUCAGCUCGUGUCGUGAGAUGUUGCGUUAAGUCGCGCAACGAGCGCAACCCCUGUCCUUAGUUGCCAUCAUUAAGUUGGGCACUCUAAGGAGACAAACCCUCUCUGAGGGUGGGAAGGUGGGGAUGACGUCAAGUCAGGAUGGCCCUUACGGCCUGGGCUGCACACGUGCUACAAUGCUCGAUACAGAGGGAGGCAAGACCGCGAGGUGGAGCGAAUCCUCAAAAUCGAGCCCAGUUCAGAUUGCAGUCUGCAACUCGACUGCAUGAAGCCGGAAUCGCUAGUAAUGGCGCAUCAGCUACGGCGCCGUGAAUACGUUCCCGGGCCUUGUACACACCGCCCGUCACGUCAUGAAAGCCGGUUUCGCCCGAAGUAUGCUUGCCAACCAGCAAUGGAGGCGGCGUCCU